rnacentral:rRNA from 1 species
AUUGAACGCUGGCGGCAGGCCUAACACAUGCAAGUCGAGCGGAGCGGCGGACGGGUGAGUAAUGCCUAGGAAUCUGCCUGGUAGUGGGGGAUAACGUCCGGAAACGGGCGCUAAUACCGCAUACUAUCAGAUGAGCCUAGGUCGGAUUAGCUAGUUGGUGGGGUGACGGCCUACCAAGGCGACGAUCCGUACCUGGUCUGAGAGGAUGAUCAGUCACACUGGAAGUGAGACAUGGUCCAGACUCCUACGCGAGUCAGCAGGAGUGAAGAUUGGACAAUGGGCGAAAGCCUGAUCCAGCCAUGCCGCUGGUGUGAAGAAGGUCCUCGGAUUUUAAAGCACUGUAAGUUGUGAGGCGUUACCAACAGGAUAAGCACCGGCUAACGUCGUGCCAGCAGCCGCGGUAAUUC